rnacentral:rRNA from 1 species
AGUGAACGCUGGCGGUAGGCCUAACACAUGCAAGUCGAACGGCAGCACAGUAAGAGCUUGCUCUUACGGGUGGCGAGUGGCGGACGGGUGAGGAAUACAUCGGAAUCUACUUUUUCGUGGGGGAUAACGUAGGGAAACUUACGCUAAUACCGCAUACGACCUACGGGUGAAAGCAGGGGAUCUUCGGACCUUGCGCGAUUGAAUGAGCCGAUGUCGGAUUAGCUAGUUGGCGGGGUAAAGGCCCACCAAGGCGACGAUCCGUAGCUGGUCUGAGAGGAUGAUCAGACACACUGGAACUGAGACACGGUCCAGACUCCUACGGGAGGCAGCAGUGGGGAAUAUUGGACAAUGGGCGCAAGCCUGAUCCAGCCAUACCGCGUGGGUGAAGAAGGCCUUCGGGUUGUAAAGCCCUUUUGUUGGGAAAGAAAAGCAGCAGGUUAAUACCCCGCUGUUCUGACGUUACCCAAAGAAUAAGCACCGGCUAACUUCGUG